rnacentral:rRNA from 1 species
UACAGAGGGUGCGAGCGUUGUCCGGAAUCACUGGGCGUAAAGGGCGCGUAGGUGGCGCGACAAGUCAGUGGUGAAAGUUCGACGCUCAACGUCGAAUCGGCCACUGAUACUGUUGGGCUUGAGCACUGUAGAGGCUAAUGGAAUUCCGGGUGUAGCGGUGAAAUGCGCAGAUAUCGGGAGGAACACCGGUGGCGAAGGCGGUUCUCUGGGCCUUACCUGACGCUGAGGAGCGAAAGCGUGGGGAGCGAACAGG